rnacentral:lncRNA from 1 species
GUCCCCCUGGUCCUUGUGAAAAACUCCGGUGUUCCUGGUAACCACAUAGUGUAUAAAGCCCCUCAUUGCACUAGUGACAAUCCUGUAACCCAGAAGCAAAGGAGAGAAUUGUCUUUGUGUUCAUUUGGGGGAGACGGUUGCUAUGGAGAUGGAUGAUAUCAUAACUCCAUUGUGAACCAGUAAGAACACUCUCGUGAGUCUAACGGUCUUCCGGAUGAAGGCUAUUUGAAGUCGCCAUAACCUGGUCAGAAGUGUGCCUGUCGGCGGGGAGAGAGGCAAUAUCAAGGUUUUAAAUCUCGGAGAAAUGGCUUUCGUUUGCUUGGCUAUCGGAUGCUUAUAUACCUUUCUGAUAAGCACAACAUUUGGCUGUACUUCAUCUUCAGACACCGAGAUAAAAGUUAACCCUCCUCAGGAUUUUGAGAUAGUGGAUCCCGGAUACUUAGGUUAUCUCUAUUUGCAAUGGCAACCCCCACUGUCUCUGGAUCAUUUUAAGGAAUGCACAGUGGAAUAUGAACUAAAAUACCGAAACAUUGGUAGUGAAACAUGGAAGACCAUCAUUACUAAGAAUCUACAUUACAAAGAUGGGUUUGAUCUUAACA